GGCAGGCAAGAUGUUGGCAUAGCUGAGUGUUUCGGUCUUCAGCUGCGCUACAUCUGGCCAGCCC
rfam:Trichuris muris Edinburgh genomic scaffold, scaffold105